UUCCGUAGGUGAACCUGCGGAGGGAUCAUUACCGAGUUUACAACUCCCAAACCCAAUGUGAACGUUACCAAACUGUUGCCUCGGCGGGAUCUCUGCCCCGGGUGCGUCGCAGCCCCGGACCAAGGCGCCCGCCGGAGGACCAACCAAAACUCUUAUUGUAUACCCCCUCGCGGGUUUUUUUAUAAUCUGAGCCUUCUCGGCGCCUCUCGUAGGCGUUUCGAAAAUGAAUCAAAACUUUCAACAACGGAUCUCUUGGUUCUGGCAUCGAUGAAGAACGCAGCGAAAUGCGAUAAGUAAUGUGAAUUGCAGAAUUCAGUGAAUCAUCGAAUCUUUGAACGCACAUUGCGCCCGCCAGUAUUCUGGCGGGCAUGCCUGUCCGAGCGUCAUUUCAACCCUCGAACCCCUCCGGGGGGUCGGCGUUGGGGAUCGGCCCUGCCUUGGCGGUGGCCGUCUCCGAAAUACAGUGGCGGUCUCGCCGCAGCCUCUCCUGCGCAGUAGUUUGCACACUCGCAUCGGGAGCGCGGCGCGUCCACAGCCGUUAAACACCCAACUUCUGAAAUGUUGACCUCGGAUCAGGUAGGAAUACCCGCUGAACUUAAGCAUAUCAAUAAGCCGGAGGAA
rnacentral:rRNA from 1 species